GGGCAGGUUUGGGCAGCAGUCGCCAACCUUUCAGACCUCACAGACCACCAGUGGUCUGCAGACCACCAGUUCGCGAC